AUGAAGAACGCAGUGAAAUGCGAUACGUAAUGUGAAUUGCAAAUUCAGUGAAUCAUCGAGUCUUUGAACGCACAUUGCGCCCCCUGGUAUUCCGGGGGGCAUGCCUGUCCGAGCGUCAUUGCUGCCCUCAAGCACGGCUUGUGUGUUGGGCCCCGUCCUCCGAUCCCGGGGGACGGGCCCGAAAGGCAGCGGCGGCACCGCGUCCGGUCCUCGAGCGUAUGGGGCUUUGUCACCCGCUCUGUAGGCCCGGCCGGCGCUUGCGGAUCAACCCAAAUUUUUAUCCAGGUUGACCUCGGAUCAGGUAGGGAUACCCGCUGAACUUAAGCAUAUCAAUAAGCGGAGGA
rnacentral:misc_RNA from 1 species